rnacentral:rRNA from 1 species
GACGUAGGGCGCGAGCGUUGUCCGGAUUUAUUGGGCGUAAAGAGCUCGUAGGCGGCUUGUCGCGUCAACUGUGAAAACCCGUGGCUCAACCAUGUGGUCUGCAGUCGAUACGGGCAGGCUAGAAUUCGGUAGGGGAGACUGGAGUUCCUGGUGUAGCGGUGAAAUGCGCAGAUAUCAGGAGGAACACCGGUGGCGAAGGCGGGUCUCUGGGCCGAUAUUGACGCUGAGGAGCGAAAGCGUGGGGAGCGAACAGG